rnacentral:rRNA from 1 species
UGGGGAAUAUUGCACAAUGGGCGAAAGCCUGAUGCAGCGACGCCGCGUGAGUGAAGAAGUAUUUCGGUAUGUAAAGCUCUAUCAGCAAGGAAGAUAAUGACGGUACUUGACUAAGAAGCCCCGGCUAACUACGUGCCAGCAGCCGCGGUAAUACGUAGGGGGCAAGCGUUAUCCGGAUUUACUGGGUGUAAAGGGAGUGUAGGUGGCAUGGCAAGUCAGAAGUGAAAGCCCAGGGCUCAACCCUGGGACUGCUUUUGAAACUGCCGCGCUAGAGUGCAGGAGAGGUAAGUGGAAUUCCUAGUGUAGCGGUGAAAUGCGUAGAUAUUAGGAGGAACACCAGUGGCGAAGGCGGCUUACUGGACUGUAACUGACACUGAGGCUCGAAAGCGUGGGGAGCAAACAGG